ACCCUUGCGAGCGCAAAAUCUGUGCAUUAUCUAACAAGUGUCCUUCGGGACUAUGGACAUAAACGCGCUCGUAAUAAGCGGAUCGGACCCGGGGGCGGUACCCGGCGGCUCCACCAAACAUCCUUCAUUUGGGGAUCAUGGGGCCGAAAUAGGAUCGACGAACGUCUAAAGGGGUUUGCUUUGUCUCGGUGAGAUACCACCGUUAUCGGUUCACUUAAGCUAGUUGCAAAUGACAACCAUGCUCCAGUUGCAGUAGCUGCGUAAGCAGUUCCUAAGACUGAAAUCUUAACUCCUAGGGUUUUGCGACCCUAGGCGGGGUCCGCAGGUACCUGGCAACAGAAACCUGCAUU
rnacentral:tmRNA from 2 species